rnacentral:lncRNA from 1 species
AGGUGACAAAAGAUAAGGUACAUCUGGAUUCUUGAAAAAUGUCAAGCUUCCAAGUUCCAGGAGAAUUACUAGAGACAAUAACUCAAGAACAUCAAUAGCCAUAAUCUACAAUUUAUUAAUGGAGCUAUCUGACUUAUUGAAUGUUGGAAACUGAUUGUGGUCUGACUUUAACUGCUGUUAGUGUAGUUCUCGAUCUGCAAUGAUAUCACAGUCUGGGAUUGAUCCAUGGGAGGACUUGCAUUCUUGCAGAAAGAUUGUGAUGAUUCGCCUAACAAGUAGUCUGUUUCCUCGCUAUUUUGCUGAGCCAAUGAUUUCUGAUGAAGAGCUUUCAGCUUAGCAAGCUCAUCGGACACUUCCUUCAUGGUUGGCCGGUUUACUCCCAUGCUAUUUAGACAUCCUUUCGCAAGCUCAGCUACAGCUUCUAUCUCAUCCAUUUCACCUUCAUUAGCUGUCUGGAAAUCCAAAAUUUUGAAGAGAUGAUUAUUUUGCAGUGCUGAGAUGAAGUGUUGAAUAACGUUCCGUUUCUCUCCAGACUUGGAAAUGGAGUUUGGCAUCUCUCCAGUGAGAAGCUCCACAAGAACUACCCCAAAGCUAUAGACAUCACUUUGAACGGUUAAAAUACCCGUCAUAAGAUACUCAGGAUCCAGGUAGCCUAGAGUCCCUUGUAUUUUUGUAGCUAAGAUAUUGGUUUGGCCAGGAGACAUCAGCACCGAAGCUCCAAAAUCUGCUACUUUUGCUGUGCAAUUAUUGUCUAGAAGUAUGUUUACUGACUUGACAUCUCCAUGAAUAACUGGAGGGUCUGCCAGAGAGUGCAAAUAAUCAAGCGCAAGCGCAGUCUCCGAUGCUACCCUCAAACGAUUGGUCCAGGAAGCCAAUAUCCGGGAACCUUUGUCGUGGAUGUGCUUGGAAAGAGUUCCAUUUGAGAUGAACUCAUAGACCAGUAAUGGAACUUUGGUCUCUAAACACAGGCCCAAGAGCUUUACCACAUUCUUGUGAUUGACCUGUGAAACAAUGCUCAUUUCCUUUUGAAAUUCCUCAUUCAUCUGAGCUUUGUCCACCCCUUUGGACUUCUUGACAGCAACCACUGUAUUAUCUGUUAAAGCUCCACUGUAAACAGAACCAAAACCACCCUCCCCGAGUUUCCGAUCAUCAGCAUAAUUGUUGGUUGCCUUUACCAGCUCUGUCUCGCUGAAAAUCCGUACUCGUUGAUUCUUUAAAAAUUUUCCCCCGUUCUCUUGGAAGUUCUUCUCCUUUAUUCUUUUCGUGCAGAUCAUGUAGAGUAGCAGACAAAUAACCACAAGGAGAAUGCUUGCGCCAACAGCUGCAAGCAAGUGUCAAAGAAGGACGUUACUUUCAAAAUCAAAUCAAGGGAAAAUAUUUAUUAACUAACUUCUCUUGUAAUUGAUCGAUAGCCACUAUGAGCUUCGUUAAUCCAACUAAAUUCGUGAUGUUUUAUUUUUUAAUUUUUUUUGAUCCCUUGAACUAUGAAGUCAAGUUAAAAUCAAGCCUUCGUUAGCCUUCCGAUCAAAAGCUACCUCAAAUGUCGUGGUCUCCUCAACACCAAAAGCAGCCAGAAGGAGAAGAAAGGAAGCAAAGCUAAAACAAUUAAUCGAAGAACACGAGAGAGAGAGAGAGAGAGAGAGAGAGGGAGAGAGAAAAAAUUAUAUGACUUGAAUUAUAGAUCCAACUAAAAUAAAUAAGCUAAUUUUAAUUUAAUUCGAUGAAAAAAAUUAAUAAUAGAUGAAUCAACAUCCCAUUAAAUAUAAAAAAAAUAAAAUAACAUAAAAAACUGAUCAACCGAAGUUAGCUGAAUUUCAAUGCUUACAAGAAAAUGCAAAGAAAGCUAAUUACCUGCAAUGAUUGUGAUGAUACUACCUCUUUGACAACCUGUUUUACCAUCACCGUACUUGCCACGUGGACAUCGACAAUUGUAAUCUCCAAUCACAUUCUCGCAAGUACCUUCUUUACAAGGGUUUUUUAAAACCUUGCAUUCAUCUAUAUCUGUUGUAAAUGUUAAAAAUAUUAGUGGAAAAAACCAGAAUAUACAAAUUCAAAAAAAAAAAAAAAAACUGUAAAAAACAAAUAGUGCCGAAUAAAUAGAAGCAAUAACCAGUUUACCUUGGCAUCCUUCUCGGAGAUAAGGAUUUCCUUCGAACCCUUUAUUGCAUGAGCAACGAUAUCCUUGACCAAUCUCAGGGUAGGUGCAAUUUGCAUUAGCGCCACAAGCAUAUGCACUUUGAUUAGCUUUGGCCUGUUCGCACGUCUUAUUUUCAACUACCCAUUCAAUCACAACAUCUGCUGUAUAUGCAUCUUUUCCAUAUUUUGGCUUGAGAGAGAGCGGCCAAUCUGAAAUCUGGAAGGAGUUCUUGUCCACUAAAAAUGCGAAUCCACAGAGAUUGAAGUCCGAAACGUCCGUGUACUCGUUUAAAGUUGACAAUGAAUAUUUAAGUGAUUUGAGGCCCUUGGGGAUUGAGGUUUGGCAGCAUCCAGAACCUGAGCAAGGAUUUCCAUCGGACAUGCUCACAUUUUCUGUGCACAAGGAGAGACAGGCAGCUCCGUAUGUGGACUCAUAGUUGGUCAUCCAGGCAUAUGUAUCGCAACCAAUUACUGUGAAUGCAUUUCGGGUGUCUGACAACGUGAAGGGGCAACGUGAUGUAUCUACAUAGUGCUAACUGCUAAGGUAAUUAUCACAAAGGUAAUUAUAAUUUCGCACUGGUUUGCAAACUAGAAAUGCAAAAACUGGGCAGGAGAAAAAAAGGGCGUACCUGGGGCUUUUGCUUGAAGAUGAAGAUGAUGGUGAUGGAGAGCUUGAGGUUGCUGGUCGAACAUACUUUUUCUCCUUUGCUUUUUUUCUUGUUUUUAUUUUCUUUGGUUGUCUGUUUGUUGUUUGUUCCUGUGCGCCUCUGUUCCCCGUCUGUGUUAUGCUUUUCUGUUUGUGUUAUCCUUCUCCUCUGAUAGCGUCCCUGUUCUAUAUUCCCUGGUCCUGUGUUUCUGGUGUCCUGGGUUUUUUCCUUCGUUUUCUGCCUGUGUUGUUCUCCUGUACUGGGUCUUUUUUUUGUGUUUCCUCCUUUUUUCUCUCUUUUUCUGGUCUUCUCUGUUUUUCUUUGCAGGUUUAUAACAUCCAUAAUAUUGGGAAUGCAUCAUUUUAAAGAUUUAUCAAACAUGUAUUUUUAAAAUGAAGUUAAUACAAAUUGUACUUCCUUUUCUUUGCUUACUUUUUACCCAUUAAAUUUUACUUUCCAAGGUUUUAGUGAGGCAAUUUGGUAUUUUUAUGAAUCCUAAAGUAUUCAAAUAUGAUUUUUAAAGUAUCUAUAUUAAACUUUUUAUUGAAUUCUAAAGCAUUCGGAAAUCAAACAAAAAUUUAUACUCUUUUUUAUUCACUUAGGUUUUUUUUCUCAUUGGGUUUUUUUUCCAAGAUUUUAAUGAGAUAAUUUUUUAAUACAUUGAAAUCAACGACUUUGUCAUUCUUGAGUUAUAAAAUCUAUAUUUAUAUACAUUGAAUAUUCGUUAGAAUCUCUUAGACUCCGUCACUCUUUAAUUUAGUUUCUUGAUUUUCUAUGACAUAUUAAUACUUGCAUUUUCUAGUAUCUUUUAAUGUUUUCAUUUCUUUUCCUAUAAAUAGACUACUUAAUUUAUAUUCUAAAGAUUGAAAAUUAUAUAUAAGAAAAUGUAUGGAUUUCUCUUUCAAUUUUUAUUCUAAAUAUUCUUGUUUUUAUUUGUUUUUUUAUAUUUUUAACAAAGUCAAAAUUAAAACCAAUCAGAUUAGUUUUUUUAUUCUAUUCUAAUAAAACAAAAGUAAAAGAAAAGCUUACUUAUAUAAGAUGUAGCAAUUGUUUUAAAACCCGACUUGACUUUAAGGGAGAAUUAACUUAAUAAAAAAUCUAGAUUGACCCAAGAUUCAAUCAAAAUAUGUUAAUUUUUUUUAAAAUUUUGUUUAAAUGAUAUUUUUACUUUUUUCUAAAAUUAAAAAAUUAAGUUAACCCAAAUUAAUUUUACCUGAACCGAAACUUGCCCUUGAUCAACAGGUUGAGUUUAAAAAUUAUGUUUAUAGGUGCUCAUGCAAUGGCUAGAAAAUGAUGGGAAUCUUGUUUUGAUAAGACUUCGUAUGCUAUGAAAAUUUGAGCUAGCUGUGGAGCUUUCUCUAUCUGGGAAUGUAGGUAAACAUCAUUGAAUCUGGUUUGAUUAGGAAAUCGAAGGUACUUAUCAAUUUCUCAAAACAAUUUCUUUUUGAGAAUGUAUAUUAACUAGUCCAGUAAACACACAAUUUUUAUUUCAACAUAGGUGACAAUUUUUAUUAACCAAGUGAGUGAAUGAGAGAAAAACGAGGGGAUUAUUUAUUGGUGAUGUUUACUAUUAUCACUUUAUUCUUGGUGGAGCAUUUUCAAAAUAGAAGUUUUCAAGUCUGAAAAUAAAGUGUGGAAUUAAAGGUGUGGUGAGUGUUGUACUACUAAUUCAAUAUUGAAGAUUUAUAAAGAAAGAAGUGAAUUGACAAUUCAGGUAAGGCCAAGUUCAAGAAAUAAUUUUUAUUUUUUUUAUUUAUCAUAGAAGAAAUGUUAGUCCUUGUAGACACGUACAAGAAUUUUUAAGCUUAGGAUGAUAUUUUUGGCAUUUCGGUUUCUCAAUCUGAAUUUAAAUAAUAAAAUAUUCAAAUUUUUUUGUUAACAGAUUUUCUUUAGACUUGUCUUUUUGGGAUUUUUUUAUUGCUAACUCUGUUUACAAGUACCAAUAAAAAUAUGUUGAAUAUUAAAUAAUAAAAUAUUCAAAUUUUUUUGUUAACAGAUUUUCUUUAGACUUGUCUUUUUGGGAUUUUUUUAUUGCUAACUCUGUUUACAAGUACCAAUAAAAAUAUGUUGAUUAUAUGCCUCCAUGAUAGGAAUUGAUAUUUGUGUUUUGGUAGGACUAUAAUACCAACAUUUCAACUUUCCUUUUCUUCUUUGUAGGCUAACUUUCAACUCCAGAGAAAGAAGAAGAACAAUGCAUGCACUACAAGAUUUAACAGUUUUACCGACAGAAUUUUUCCGUAUAAUUCUGCAAUCUUUGCCGUAUAAUUGUUGUCUGAAAGCAUGCUCACCGACUUUGACAUCUCCAUGAACAAUAGGAGGGUCUGCUAGAGAAAGCAGAUAAUCAAGCGCAAGGUCUCCGAUGCUAUCCUUAGACGAUUGCCCUAGGAGAAGCUAGUAAAUGCAACUUUUUGUCAUGGAUGUUCUUGAAUAGAUAAUUUCCAUUUGAAAUGAACUCAUAAACUAGUAAUGGCAUUUUAGUCUCGGAACACAGGCCAAAGAGCUUGACCACAUUCUUGUGAUUGACCAGCAAAACAAGGCUACUUUCCUUUUGAAAUUCCUCGUUCAUCUAAGCCUUCUCUGCCCCUUUAAACUUAUUGACUGCAACCAAGGUCUUAUCUGCUAAAACUCCCUUGAAAACAGAACCAAAACCACCUUCCCAAGUUUCUGAUCAUCAACAUAACUGUUGGUUUCUAUUGCCUCACCGAAAAUCCUUGAUCGCUGAUGCUCUAAGCCAUUCCCUCGUUCUCUCUGAAGUUUUUCUCCUCACUUUUUUUCUUUUCCAGCACAUCAUGUAGAACUGUAGACAAAUAAUCACAAGGAAAAUUGUUGCUCCAGUAGCUGCAAAAAAAAACGUCAACGAAAGAUGUGUGUAACUUACAAAACGAACCAAUGGAAAGGAUACAUUUACUAACUUUUGAUAAGUGAUGAAAAGUAGUGAUAGGCCAUUAAUGUUACUUACAAGCCCAGCACCAAUAAUGGGCUCAAUUUGAUAGUAGACCUAUGGACUCAGAGAAGGCCUUUAGGUCCAUGAUGGUGGUUAUGUAGCCCAAAGGAGCAAAAUGUACAAUUAUUACUUGUGACUCAGAGCUUAGGUCAUAAGGAAUUCCUUUUAUUCCUUUUAUUCUAAUAAAAAAAAAGGUAAAGGUAAAGCUUAAUUUUAUAAGAUGCAGCAACUAUUUUAAAACGACGGUUAACCUAUUAUUCUUGUGACUCAGAGCUUAGAUAAAAAAUAAUUUCAAAACAGUUGGGAGAAUCAGGAUUUUUGUAUAUAUUGGUUUCGCCAGGAGGCAUCAACACCGAAGCUCCAAAAUCUGCUACUUUUGCUGUGUAAUUAUUGUCUAGAAGUAUGUUUACUGACUUGACAUCUCCAUGAAUAACUGGAGGGUUUGCCAGAGAGUGCAAAUAAUCAAGCGCAAGCGCAGCCUCCGAUGCUACCCUCAAACGAUUGGUCCAGGAAGCCAGUAUCCGGGAACCUUUGUCGUGGAUGUGCUUGGAAAGAGUUCCAUUUGAGAUGAACUCAUAGACCUGUAAUGGAACUUUGGUUAAACAAUAUCUUAAUUAAUUAAUAUUUUUUCAUGAUUUUAAUAAUAUUAAUUUAUAAAGGUUUAACGUACGGUGGUUUAAAAAAUUAGUAUUAAAAAAUAAAAAAAUUUAGACAAUUUUACUAAUUGAUAUAUAUAUGGCCUUCAGGAUUUUUUUUAUAGCCAAUAUCUUCAAAUUGAUUUUUAUGAAUGACAAUUGUGCGUCUAUAUUUUUAGUACAAUAAAUUAAGGGCAACUUUUUUGUUACAUAAUUCAAAAUGCAUGUCAUAUGUGGACGUUCGUCUUUAAUGUGUAAAAAAUGUAUCAAUAUCCCUGUGCUUGUAACCAUGUCCAUGUCUAUGUAUUUAGCCUCUCGAAUCCUCUCACACCAGAGGCUUCGAGAGGCUAAAUACUUCUCAAAUGAAGUCUUUGCUAACUGAUGAUGGCUUUGAUUCCUCAAGAUAGAGACAUGGCUCAAGUUACCAAUUGAUCAAAGAAACUCUCUUAUAAUCAGCGCGAAGGAUUUUUAAUUUAUUUCGUUCUUAACAUGAAAGACUAAGAACAUGUGCUAAAACACAUGGACCACAACACAAUUACAAGUUUUUAUUCAAUCAGCAACCCUCGUAAAAGUGUUAAAAACAAAAAAGAAACAUAUGAUUUGUGAUAUAUUUUCUUAAUCGCUCACCAUGUUUCAGAAGAAAUCAACGGCUUGCAAUCUAAUGGUACAUCUGUACCAAUCUCGAAAUUGCUGCAGGAAAUCGACCUCGAUGAAUUAUCCACUUCAACCAUUUGUUGAGUAUUGAUACCGUUACGUGAUAAUAGAAUCCCCUCCAAUUCCAUUGCAACUUCUCUCAUUGUUGGCCGGUUUCUUCCAUUCAUAUUCAAACAUCUCUUUGCAAGAUUCGCUAUAACUAUGGCUUCCUCUUCAGUGCAAUCCCCCUUAACCUGAGCAUCAAUGAUAUCAAAGAGUCUACUAUCUUCCAUCAAUUCAAUGAAAUGUUCGGCUAGGCUCAUGGUUUUCAGUGAAUGGGUUAAGAAAAUUGGUUUUUUCCCACUUAAGAGCUCGACGAGAACUACUCCAAAACUAUAAACAUCACUAUUUCCUGUUAAUUGACUGGUUCGAAAAUACUCUGGAUCUAAGUAACCAAAAGUACCUUGCACCUUGGUGGUCAGAUGAGUUUGAUCAAUGGAAACUGAUCUUGUGGUUCCGAAAUCUGAAACUUUUGCUUUAUAUUUCUCAUCUAAGAGUAUGUUUGUGGACUUAAUGUCUCGGUGGUAAAUCGGGAUAGAUGCUGUCGAGUGAAGAUAGGAUAUAGCACCUGCAGCUUCCGAGGCGAUUCGCAACCGCGAUUCCCAUGAUAACGUAAAGUCCUCGUUUUGCUCAUGGAGAUAUUGGUAAAGAGUUCCAUUGGGAAUGAAUUCAUAGACUAGCAGAGGAACAUCAGUCUCCAGGCAACAUCCAUGAAGCCUAACCACAUUUCUGUGAUUGAUUUGUGAAAGAAUGACAACCUCGUUGAUGAAUUCUUCUAGUUUUUCUUCAUCUACUCUUGUAGACGUCUUAACUGCAACAAUACUCCCAUCAGCUAACAUUCCCUUGUAAACGGUGCCUUGACCGCCAUGACCAAGUAUGCUGUUCUCAUUAAAAUAAUCGGUCGCCUUUUCCAACUCAUUUGAACUGAAUAUUUUUGUCUUUUGAACACUACCAUCACUGGAGGAUAAUUGUUGCUGCAAUAAGAGACCACCAUUCCGUUUGAAAAACAACUUCUUCAACUGAAUGCACUUCCUUCUUUUGAUAAGUUUGAACAUCCACCAAGCACCAAUGAGCAACAACAGUACUCCAAGGGCCAGACCGAUAACUGUAUUCCGAGGUAAAAAAUAUCACUUAGCUCAGGCAUAUGGUUUGAGUUGAAAAUAUCACUUGGCUCAGGCAUAUUAAACAUGUACAGCGACCAUUAAAAAAUAGGCAAGAGAACAUAUUGUUUUGUCUUACACUGUAGAUCAUUGUGGACUUCUGGUAAAAAAUAAAAUUUCAUUUCAAUUUUUUUUAAAAUUCAUCCUUAAAUUGCCGAAUUGAAAGCUAAUUUAGAUUACUUUGAUAGGAAAGGGGUGAAAUUAAAGGACUGGAGAUCAAAGUAAAAAAAAUAAAAGAAAUUGAUGGUUUUAAAAAAGUUUACGUGAAUUGUUCUUUGUAGAGUCUCCAAACUUUCCUAAUUAUAAAUAAUUGGUCCUUUAAUUUUUAAAAUAUAAGAAUAAAGUCAAUUUUUGUCUCAAAACUUUAUUUUUAUUAUCUUUUGAUCCUUGGGUUGAGAAAGGAGAGAGAAAAAUAUUAGAUUCUAGUUAUAGAGAGAAAAUUAUCAUUUACAUCAAUUCAAGCUAUGAAAAAAAUGAUGAUUUUAGUAUUAUUGAAUUUCUUUUAAUAUGGAGAAUUUAUAGUAAGUGUUUUUUCUUCCCUGAGUUACUUUUAUGGUAGAUUUGAGCAUGAAAACAGUUUUGGCUUGGGGUUGAUUGUGGGUUUUCGAUAUAAUUUUUGAAUUGUUUAAGGUCAUAAAUAUGUUUUAGAAGGUGUUUGGGGUUUUUUUUUUUAAUGGAAACAUGGUUGAUUUUUUUUUUGUGAAAAAUAUCACAGCUUGAAUUUGGUCGCUAAAAUCUUGACAGGGUAGAUAACACGUCGCCAACUUUUUUUUUCUUAAAAAAAUUUUUUAUUUGUGAUUGAAAUCUUUUUAUAUUAAAAAAGAAUAUAUAAAAAAUAUUGUUUUAUUGAAAAAAAAAGUUACUUGACGUGCCGCAAGUCACAGAUCAAAUAACUAGUAUAUAUUCUUACUAACUGGUUCAGGUGCUUGUGUGUAAGAAACUGAAGGUUGGGAAACAUACAUAUCAAGUAAUGUCAUCAUAAGAAAAUGCAAAGAAAGCUAAUUACCUGCAAUAAUUGUGAUGAUACCAGGUCCUUUACAGCCUGUUUUACCAUCACCGUACUUGCCACGUGGACAUCGACAAUUGUAAUCUCCAAUGACAUUCUCGCAAGUACCUUCUUGACAAGCGUUUUUUCCUCGACCUUGCAUUCAUCUAUAUCUGUUGUAAAUGUUAAAAAUAUUAGUGGAAAAAACCUGAAUAUACAAAUUCAAAAAAAAAAAGUUAAAAACAAAUAGUGCCGAAUAAAUAGAAGCAAUAACCAGUUUACCUUGGCAUCCUUCUCGGAGAUAAGGAUUUCCUUCGAACCCUUUAUUGCAUGAGCAACGAUAUCCUUGACCAAUCGCAGGGUAGGUGCAGUUUGCAUUAGCGCCACAAGCAUAUGCACUUUGAUUAGCUUUGGCCUGUUCGCACGUCUUAUUUUCAACUACCCAUUCAAUCACAAUAUCUGCUGUAUCUGCAUAUAUUUUGGCUUGCGAGAGAGCGGCCAAUCUGAAAUCUUGAAGGAGUUCUUGUCCACUAAAAAUGCGAAUCCACAGAGAUUGAAGUCCGAAACGUUCGUGUAGUUGUAAAAAGUUGAUAACGAAUAAUCAAGUGAUUUGAGGCCCUUGGGGAUUGAGAUUUGGCAGCAUCCAGAACCUGAGCAAGGAUUUCCAUCGGACAUGUUCACAUAUUCUGUGCACAAGGAGAGACAGGCAGCUCCAUAUGUGGACUCAUAGUUGGUCAUCCAGGCAUAUGUAUCGCAACCAAUUACUGUGAAUACAUUUCGGGUGUCUGACAACGUGAAGGGGCCUGAUCCAAGGGAGAAAUACUGUGAGUAAUAGUCUGUCCAGCUCCCAGUUUUGUCAUAGCAGGCGAAAGCAGUGUAUAAGCUGGCAGUUAUUGUGCCCUCCAGCACUGAUAUAUUGCGAGCAGGCAUGUUUCCAAACAACAGUUGCCCAUCAGCGCCUGAAGUGCAGUUUAGAAAGAAGUCGUCGUUCAUGGCACAGCUUUCUUCUCCAAUCCCAAAGGGGUAAGGAACACUAACAUCCCCACACUUGUCUUGGCAGCCAGGUUUUGCAUCUGUCCUUGCUGUUGAUGCUGCAGCUGGACACAAUAAAAGCGACAUCAUCAGCAAAAACACCCACAUGACUCUGAACCUCCCAACUUAAUAAGUAGCAAUUGAACCUAGAAGAUUUGUAUAAAGAGGCUCCAAACCACUAACUUCUGCAACUUCUUUUCUCGUAGAGGACAUAUAUAUAUAAGCUAAUUAACACAGACCAAGUCCAAGAACGCAGGGAUAGAGUCUUGAGAGUCCUUUCCUAGAUCUUUCUUUUCAGUUGGCACGCAUGCAAAGUCACAUAACAUUGACCAAAUCAAAUCUACAAUUCCUAAUAACAUGUAUUGACAAACUAUGGAAACCCCAGUGAAGCCAUAUCACAGCCACCAACCUCGACAUCUGGGUACGCAGAGUAAUUAAUGAUUAAGAGGAUUUUUUUUAAUUCAUAUUUUAAAAUUAAUAUUUAAUAGAAUUUGAUUUUCUAAUUAAAUACAUCAAUGUAAUAAUAAGUAUGUAUUCUUAAAAUUAUGUUUUAAAAAAAAACUUAAUCUCUAGUGACUUUGAAACUAAUUAAAGAUACAUUGAUUGUUAAGGAAAGCUAUACACAAACACCAAAAUAACUACUUUUCCUUGUUAAAAUGCUUGUUUGUAAAUGUGAUUUGACCAUGUUUUUAAAAAAUUUAAAAGUUUUUUAUUUUUAUUUUUAAUUAAUAUUUUAUUAUUUUGAAGUAUUGGUAUAAAAACUAAAAUAAUAUUUUAAAAUAAAAAAUAUUUUAAAAAAACACUCUCCAUACAAAUAACAAAUAGCAGGUCCCAACAAUAGCAAAGUCACUCACAAUAAGAUUAGGUCUUGUUUUUUUUUUUUUUUUUUUUUAAAAGUAUUUUUUUUAAAAAAAUUUUUAUUUUAAUUUUUUUUGUUUUAAAUUAUUUUUUCUUUGUAUUUUUAAAUUAUUUUGAUGUGUCGAUGUUAGAAAUAAUUUUUUUAAAAAAAAAAUAUUAUUUUAAUAUAAUUUUUUUAAAAAAAUACUUUAAAAAAUAAUUAUAAUUACGUAUUUUUAGACACGCUUUAAAAUUGAUAGAUGGAAAAUAAGGAGGGCCUUUGGGUCCAUGGCUUCGCAAAAUCUAACUGGCAAGGAAGUGACCACCUUCGGGUCAAAGGGUUUAUUUAUUGGACCAUCUAUAGCCACUUGGAUGCCAUCCAUUAUCGUAGAAAACGCACAUCAACCCUUUCGGCUUUUGGAUUUUCUUGUGGAAAAUUAUAUAAGGGCAGAGCUAUGAGCACAUGAAUACUCGCCGGGUCAAGUGCGGACAUAGAUUCUUUGAAAUUUGAGUGUGAUUGUCGUCGAUGUUCCUUAAUAAUUUUCAAAGGACCCCAAAGCCAGAUUUUGCAUUGGCCCCCAUAGCAAGUAAUGCUUGCGAUAACCAAGUGAGUGAAUGAAGAAAAACGAGGGGAUUUUUUAUUGGUGAUGUUUACUAUUAUCACUUUAUUCUUGGUGGAGCAUUUUCAAAAUAGAAGUUUUCAAGUCUGAAAAUAAAGUGUGGAAUUAAAGGUGUGGUGAGUGUCUACUAAUUCAAUAUUGAAGAUUUAUAAAGAAAGAAGUGAAUUGACAAUUCAGGUAAGGUCAAAUUCAAGAAAUAAUUUUUUUUUUUUUUUCACAUAGAAGAAUUGUUAGUCCUUGUAGGACACGGACAAGAAUUUUUAAGCUGUAGAAUGAUAUUUUUGGCAUUUCGGUUUCUCAAUCUGAAUAUUAAAUAACAAAAUAUUCAAUUUUUUUUGUUAACAAAUUUUCUUUAGAGUUGUUUUUUGGGUUUUUUUUAAUUGCUAACUCUGUUUAUAAGUAACAGUAAAUAAAUAAAUAAAUAUAUAUCAGUUAUAUGCCUUGAUGAUAGAAAUUGAUAUUUGUAUUUUGAUAGGACUGGGAUGCCAACAUUUAGAAAGAUAAUUUCCAUUUGAAAUGAACUCAUAAACUAGUAAUGGCAUUUUAGUCUCCGAACACAGGCCAAAGAGCUUGACCACAUUCUUGUGAUUGACCAGCAAAACAAGGUCUUAUCUUGACCACAUUCCCUUUUGAAAUUCCUCGUUCAUCUAAGCCUUCUCUGCCCCUUUAAACUUAUUGACUGCAACCAAGGUCUUAUCUGCUAAAACUCCCUGAAAACAGAACCAAAACCACCUUCCCAAGUUUCUGAUCAUCACAUAAUUGUUGGUUUUUUUUGCCUCAUCGAAAAUCCUUGCUCGCUGAUGCUUUAAGCCAUUCCCGUUCUCUCUGAAGUUCUUCUCCUCACUUUUUUUUUAAGCUAAUAUAUAUAUAUAUAUAUAAGCUAAUUAACACAAACAACUAAAACAAUUGUUAACACGACCAAGUCCAAGACUACAGGGUCGAUAGAGUCUUGAGAGUCCUUUCCUAUAUCUUUCUUUUCAGUUGGCACGCAUGCAAAGUCACAUAACAUUGACCAAAUCAAAGUAUACAAUUCCUAGUAAUUUGUGUAGAUAAGCUAUGAAAACCCCAGUGAAGUCAUAUCACAGCCACCAACCUUGUUUGGGGUACCCAGAAUAAUUAAUGAUUAAAUGGAUUUUUUUAUAAUUUAUAUUUUAAAAUUAAUAUUUAAUGGAAUUUUAUUUUCUAAUUAAAUAUAUUAAUGAUGUAAUAAUAAGUAUGUAUUCUUAAAAUUAUAUAAAAAAAAACUUAAUCUCAAGUGACUUUAAAACUAAUUAAAGAUACAUUGAUUGUUAAGGGAAAACCAUACACAAACACCAAAAUAACUACUUUUCCUUGUUAAAAUGCUUGUUUUAAACAUGGUUUGACCAUGUUUUUUAAUUUUUUAAAGUUUUUAAUUUUUAUUUUUAAUUUUAUUUUUUAUUUAUUAUUAUUAUUUUGAAGUAUUGGUAUCAAAAAUAAAAAAAAUAUUUUAAAAUAAUUUGUUUUUUUUAAAAAAAACACUCCCUAUACAAAUAACAAAUAGUAGUACCCAACAAUCACAAAGUCACUCACAAUGGGAUUAGAAAUUAAAAAAAAAAUUAUUUUGAUGUGAUGUUAGAAAAAAAAAUUUUAAAAAUAAAAAAUAUUAAUUUAAUAUAAUUUUAAAUUAAAAUACUUUAAAAAAUAAUUAUAACUACGUAUUUUUAUACACACUUUAAAAUCGAUAGAUGGAAAAUAAGGAGGGGCCUUUGGGUCCAUGGCUUCGCAAAAUCUAACUGGCAAGGUAGUGACCACCUUCGGGUCAGAGGGUUUAUUUUUUGGACCACUUGGAUGUCAUCCAUUAUCGUAGAAAACGCACAUCAACCCUUUCGGCUUUUGGAUCUUCUUGUGGAAAAUUAUGCAAGGGCAGAGCUAUGAGCACAUGAAUACUCGUUGGGUCGACAAGGACUUACCCAGGAUUAGAUUCUUUGAAAUUUGUGUGUGAUUGUCGUCGAUGUCUUGAUGAUAUUCCUUUAUAAUUUCAGUGAGUGAAUGAGAGAAAAAGGAGGGGAUUAUUUAUUGGAGCAUUCUCAAAAUAAAAGUUUUCAAGUCUAAAAACUAAGUGUGGAAUUAAAGAUGUGGUGAGUGUUGUACUACUAAUUCAAUAUUGAAGAUUUAAUUAUAAAGAAAGAAGUGAAUUGACAAUUCAGGUAAGGCCAAGUUCAAGAAAUAAUUUUCUUUUUUAUCAAUAUAAGAAAUGUUAGUCUUUGUAGGAGACGUACAAGAACUUUUAGAUCGUCUUUGACAGUGUGGUAGCGAUUAUUUUUUAAAUAAUUUUUAAUGCCAAAAUGCAUGCCAAUGAUGUUUUUUUAUUUUUUAAAAAUUAUUUUUGACAUCAGCACAUCAAAACGAUCCAAAAAGUACAAACCGCAUUAAAUUUUAACAAAAAAAAAAAACUUUUGAAUUUUUUGGGAACGCCAUUUCAACCGCGUUCUUAAACACUACCUUGAGCUGUAGGAUGAUUUUCGGCAUUUCAGUUUCUCAAUUUGAAUAUUAAAUAAUAAAUUAUUCAAAAAAAAUUUUGUUUGCAAAAUUCCUUUAGAGUUGUCUUUUUGGGAUUUUUUUUAUUGCUAACUUUGUUUAUAAGUACCAAUAAAAAUAUGUCAAUUAUAUGCCUCGAUGAUAGGAAUUGAUAUUUGUAUUUUGGUAAGACUAUGAUGCUGACAUUUCAACUUUUCUUCCCUUCUUUGCGGGCGGAAUUUCAACUCCAGAGAAAGAAGAAGAAGAACAAUGCAUGUGGAAACGAUAUCAUUUUGGUAUGGGAAUGAUCAUUUUUAAUUUGAUGCUUGAAGUUUUGAAAUUUUGCAUUUAAACUCCUGAUAUUUUAAUUUCAAAUUUUGAUCCCCUUAAAAUCAAAUUUUAUAACUUGUGAAAUCUUGACCUUGAAUUAAUUAAAAAACUUAAAUUUAAUUUUUAAAGAUAAAAUAAUAAAAAGAAUAUUAAAAAAAAAUGCUUAGAUUCUUUGAAACACGGACCGUCUAUAACCACUUGGAUGUCAUCCAUUAUCGUGGAAAACGCUCAUCAACCCUUUUGGCUUUUGGAUCUUCAUGUGGAAAAUUAAGGGCAGAGCUAUGAGAACAUAUAUAAAUACUCGUUGGGUCAAGGGCGGACAAGAAUAUUGUCGAUGUCUUGAUGAUAUAUAUACCUUAAUAAUUUUUAAAGGAUCCCAAAGCCAGAUUUUGCAUUGGCUCCCAUCGCUUUAACAUCCAUUAUUUAUUGGUGAUGUAUACUAUUAUCGCUUUAUUCUUGGUGAAACAUUUUCAAAAUAAAAGUUUUCAAGUCUAAACACAACGUGUGGAAUUAAAGAUGUGGUGAGUGGUGUACUACUAAUUCAAUAUUAAAGAUUUAGAUAUAAAGAAGUGAACUGAAAAUUCAAGGUCAAGUUCAAGAAAUAAUAAUUUUAUAUAUAUAUAUAAAUAGAAGAAAUGUUAGUCCUUGUAGGACAUGUAAAAGAAUUUUUAAGCUGUAGAAUGAUAUUUUCAGCAUUUCAGUUUCUUAAUCUGAAUAUUAAAGAAAAAAAUAUUAAUUUUUUUUUUGUUAACAAAUGCCCUUAUGGGUUGUUUUUUUGGAUGUUUUUCUAUUUCUAAUUCUAUUUCUAUACACUGAUGAAAAUAUCUCGGUAAUAUAUACCGAGAAAAACUUAUUUAGAAUAAAAUAAAUAAAAAAACCAAAGAUGACGUGUAAUAAGUUUUUGCACUUUACGUUUUGUUCAUUAAUUAAAUUAGUUAAUUGUUACUUGACUUCAUUUGAUUAUUUUAUUUGUCAAUUGAUUUGGUAAAUUAUAUUUAAGAAUAAGUUUGUUUUUAUGUUUCAAAAAUAUUAAAAGUUUUUUUUUAUUUUAAUUUUUAGAUAAUUUUGAUGUAUUAAUGUUAAAAAUGAAUUUUUAAAAAUAAAAAAAAUAUUAUUUUAAUAUAUUUUGCAAUAAAAAAUCUUUAAAAAUAACUACUAAGUACCUAAAUCUUUCAAUGUUUUCACGCUCUUCGUAUUGGAGCUCUAUUAAUCUUAAGAAAUUAUUUAAUUGCUGAUCGAAGAUAUAUAUGAUGAGAGGGUUAAAAAUUAAUAAAUCAAGAAAUCAUUGAAAUGAAAGAGCUAUUACAAAAUAGAGGAUGAAGUCACGUAACAGUGACCAAAUCAAAGUCUACAAUUACUAAUACAUGUGUUGAAAAACCUCUAUGAAGCCAAAUCACAGCCACCAAUCUCGACGUUUGGGGCGUGCAGAGUAAUUAAUGAUUAAGUGGUUUUUUUAAUUCAUAUUUUAAAAUUAAUAUUUAAUAGAAUUUGAUUUUCUAAUUAAAUACAUUAAUGUAAUAAUAUUAAUUAUGUAUUCUUAAAAUUAUUAAAAAAAAACUUAAUCUCAACUAACUUUGAAACUAAUUAAAGAUGCAUUGAUUGUUAAGGAAAAAAAUAAACACAGACAACAAAUUAAUACUCCCUCUUACAUAUUCCAAAGCCAAUAAAUGCAUCCUCGGAAUGUAAUUAAUUAAAAAUUAACAACCAAGACAUAGAGAUGGGUAUAGGCCUAUACGCAUGCUAAAAGCACAAAGCAAUAUCCAUAUAUCACUAAUUUCAAUUCAACAUGAAUUUUUUUAUAUAAAUUAUCCUAGUUUCUUUUUUAUAUUAUAUAUAUAUAUAUAUAUAUAUACCAACCAUUUGUUUUUUUUAUUAUUAUUUCGACCAUCUUAAUUCAAUUUAUGACUAGUUCUGAUACGACUGGGUCAAUGGAGCCUAGAGAGAGUCCUUCCAGCAUCUUUCUUUUUAAUUAGUUUUUGUUUUUGGAAGGCAAACAAAAUAUUUGCAGAAAAUUCAUAGUACAAAAACAAUCAAAUAUCUUAAUUUCAUUUGGUUGGAUUUGAGCUCUCCACCCAUCUCUUUCAUUAUAAUUGCAGGGAGGUUAAUAGGUGAAGCUAUAGUAUGAAAAGUCUAUGAUUGUGAUUUUUUAUGGUUGGUUUAAAGUGUUUUAUUUUAAAAUAUAUUUUAAAAAAAAAUUAAUUUUAAUACACAUCAAAAUAAUCUAAAAAUAUAAAAAAAAUUAAAUUUUAACAAAAACAUAGCUCAACCAUGUAACUAAACAUGCUUGUAAUUUCCUUACAAAUAUAUAAUUUUCCUUUGUAAUUUCUCAAGUGGAAAGUGAAGAGAGAUGUUUAAGCUAUGUAUGUUAAUUCCAUAAUCAAUUAAAACUUUCACUUCAUAUUUUUUUCAUUAUUUACAUUAAUUAUUUGUUGAUCGAAUUCAUUUGUUUAUUUUGCAAAUCCAUUUAUUUCAAGAAUUAUAUGUAAAUCAAUCAAUGUUCUCAUACUCUUCAUAUUAGCCGAUUCAACUUGAUUUCUACGAAAGAGCUAGUUGUUGUGCAUACUGGACCGAAAGCAAACACAAAAAAACACAAAGACAAGCAGAUUUACGUGGUUCCCCAAAACCGGGUAUGUCCACGGAGGCAACAGAUUGUAUAUUAUUGGAGGAAUAAUACAAACACUGAACUCAACCCCAAUACAAUCCUAAAACCCAAUGUUUCACUCUUACACUCGAUGUUUCUCUCUAAUCUGCACUUGCACUCACUCUUACUCUCACAGUUGCAUUAUUUUCUUCUUUGCACUUGACACACGUUCUCUCCACGUUGCUCUUCACCUCUUUAUAGGUGAAUGGAGAAGCACCCAUGUGCAGCCAGCUCAACCCAUGAAUGGAGAAGCAUUGGUAGCCAGCUCAACCCAUGUGCAGCCAACCACUACAAUGAAAAAGGUUGACAAAUUUGCUACACUGGCUACAUAUAUAUUCCUUGAUCUCAUUAAAUGACUGGUCCAGUUCUAAAUGCUUCCGCUGUUGCUGAAAAAUUGUGAUGAUUCACUAAUAAGUGAUUUCUGAUGAAGGGCUUUCAGCUUAACAAGCUUAUCACAUACGUCCUUCAUUGUUGGUCGGUUACUAGUACAUGCAUGCUAUUUAGAGAUCCACAAGAAAAAAAAUUUCAAUGUAAAAAAAAGUUAGGGUAUAAAACCUAAUUAUAAAAAGGUAAAUAGAAUAACUAAGUUUUUAGAUUAUCAACAAUCAAAUUAUAUCUAAUAGAAAGAAAGUAAAAAAAAAAAAUAACAAAGCAAACUCAAAGAAAAAACAUAAGCUUUUAAGAAAAAUAUCAAGAAAACUUGAAUAAACUUUCUAAACCCCACAACUCGCUGAAUUCUAGACCUAAAUUCAAUAAAAAAAAACCUUAAUAGGUGGAGGAGUAGAGGCAGCUACUACAAUUCUUCUUUUCCCCUGUGCAGAGAUACAACCCUCCUCGUUUUCUUCCCGGUGGUAGUGCAAGAGGAGCGAACGGUGGCCUAGGUGAUGAAGAUGAUGGUAUCCCUUCCUCUGUGCUUUCCUUAUCCUCUGUUUCUGCCCUCCCUCCCCCCUCUCUCUCUCUCUCUCUCUCUCUCUGUUUCAUUCUUCUACUUCCCUCUUCUUCUUUGUUUUUUUCGUUUCCUUCCUUUCCUCCCUUGUUUCUCCUUCCUUCCCCUCCAUGAGUCUAUUGCUUGCUUCCCUCUUUUAUCAUGAAUUCUCCCACCCUUCUCCCUCCAUUUCCCUCCUCUACCUUUCUAUUUAUAGGCAGAGGGAAGAGAGUCACUUACCCCUGCCAUGGCGCAGGGUAAGGUGAGCUAGGGAGUUGCUUGCAAGGCAUGGCUCCCCUGUCUUUCUUCAUCAUUGUGGCGUGGUGGUAGGGUAUGUGUGAGCAUAGGUUGUGUCGGGUUUCUUGGACAAGGUGGGGGGGGGGUGUGAGAGAGAGAGAAAGAAUAGUGGGGAAAGAAGGAUUUUAAAAAGUCUUCUUUCCCUUGUCUCUGCAUUUGCAAGGGAAGAAGCAGCACAAUGCCAUACAAAACAAAACUGUACACUGUUCUUUUUUUUUUUUUUUAGAAAAUGAAAUGAAUUCGGUAACGACCUAAAAAUGGGUUAUGACAGACCAAAUAUGAAAGAAAAACAAAUUGAAGUGCUCUAAAUUUUUACAUGGGUGGCAUAAAUUUUGAGGUGGAAGAGAGAAAAGAAAAGAAAAAAAGAAAUGGACUUUUGCAUCAAACCAACACACCACGGUGUAGAGGACGCUGAUAUUUUUUAAACACUGCCCUGAAAAGUUAUUUUUGAUGGUCGGACAACCCCACGUGCGCAACCUAAAUGACGCGAGGGCCACUCACACAGUGGCUAGUUCGUUGCACGCGCCAACAUGUUUUUUUUUAAAUAAUAUUUAAUUAUAAUAAUAAUGCACAAAAAACCACAAAAUCUACAAUAAAACCAAUAUUAAAUGAACAAAAUAACCUUAUUAGAGAGUUAUACUUUUUUGUCUCAAAAGAUACCAAAGUUAUUUAAGUAUUUUGAAAAAAAUAAAAGGGCAAAAACACCCCCAAGACAAAAGCAUAAGAGUUUUGUAUUCCAAAACCAUAGUAGUAAUUUUAUUGUGCAAAAUAAAAAUAAAAUGAUAAAUAUUGAUAUGUUAAAGACAUGUUGGAAAGACAAUUUUACACUCAAAGCUUAGUUUAUUGUCAUUGUUUUUUGUUAGGUAAAUUCAUAAUUAUAUUAUUACAAUGAAUAAUAUCACCAGUAGCUUUAGUGUUUUUUUUAUGAUAAUUUGGAAGCUCAGCUACAGCUUCUAUCGCAUCCAUUUAACGUUCAUCAGCUUCCUAAAAAUCCAAAAUUCUGGAAAGAUGAUUAUUUUCCAGUGCGGAGAUAAAGUACCGAGUAGUGUUCAGUUUCCCUCCUGAGCUGACAUUUCAGUUUGGCAGCUCUCCUGUGAGAAGCUCCACAAGGACAGCUCCAAAGCUACAGACAUCACUUUUUCAUAAGAUACUAAGGAUCCAGCUAGCUAAAAGUGGCUUAUAUUUUUUUGACUAUGAUGGUUUGGCCUGAAGAAAUCAGUGGUGAAGCUCCAAAAUCUGCAAUCUUUGCCGUAAAAUUGUUGCCUGAAAGCAUGCUCACCGACUUGACAUCUCCAUGAACAAUAGGAGGGUCUGCUAGAGAAGGCAGAUAAUCAAGUGCAAGGGUAAUCUCCGGUGCUAUCCUUAGACGAUUGCCCCAGGAAGCUAGUAAAUGCAACUUUUUGUCAUGGAUGUUCUUGAAAAGAUAAUUUCCAUUUGAAAUGAACUCAUAAACUAGUAAUGGCAUUUUAGUCUCCGAGCACAGGCCAAAGAGCUCGACCACAUUCUUGUAAUUGACCAGCAAAACAAGGCUAAUUUCCUUUUGAAAUUCCUCGUUCAUCUAAGCCUUCUCUGCCCAUUUAAACUUAUUGACUGCAACCAAGCUCUUAUCUGCUAAAACUCCCUUGAAAACAGAACCAAAACCACCUUCCCAAGUUUCUGAUCAUCAACAUACUUGCUGGUUUCUUUUGCCUCACCGAAAAUCCUAGCUCGCUGAUGCUUUAAGCCAUUCCCUCGUUCUCUCUGAAGUUCUUCUCCUCACUUUUUCUCUUUUCCAGCACAUCAUGUAGAACUGUAGACAAAUAAUCACAAGGAAAAUUGUUGCUCCAAUAGCUGCAAGAAAAAUGCAACGAAAGAUUGUGUAACUUACAAAGCGAACCAAUGGAAAGGAUACAUUUACUAACUUUUUAAUUACUAAGUGAAGAGUAUUUGGAUCUCCUCAGGAACCUGGGAAGAUUCAAAUCCAAUUAUUUUCUAUUUUAUUGUUUUACAGUUAAGAGUUUACAAAGUAGUGAUAGGCCAUUAAUGUUACUUACAAGCCCAUCACCAAUAAUGGGCUCAAUUUGAUAGUAGACCUAUGGACUCAGAGAAGGCCUUUAGGUCCAUAGGUCUAUUAAAUUGAUGGCAGAUCAACUGGAAGCAAGGUUCCCUCGGCUCCUAAUAAAAAACGAUGUAAAAAGAGUUCGUUUCAUUUGAUGGCAAAUUUACCGGCCUUCGUUGUUUGUGAAAUUGUAAUUGUUUUUUUUAAUAUUUUUUAUUUAAAAAUAUAUUAAAAUAAUAUUUUUUUAUUUUAAAAAAAUUAUUUUUAUAUCAAUAAAUCAAAAUAAUUUUACAAACAUAAAAAAUAAAAAAAAUUUAAUUUUUUUCAAAAACACUUUUGAAACGUAAAAAAACAAAGAUGUCUGGUUAUUUGAUUCGCGUAUAGUCACCGGUGAGAUAACAUUUUAGUAAAAAAAAAAUUACUACACAAGGUUUUUAAAUGUGUUUUUACAAAAUAAAAAAACCUAAUUAUAAAUAAAAAGCUCUAUGCAUGUAUUUAAUGAAAUAAAUCAAGAAUUAUCUAUGCAAUAAAUACAAAAAAAAUAUAUUAACGUGUCUAUUCAACUUGCUUCACUGCAAGUUGAAUAAUUUUUUUUAAUAAAAAAAUAUAUAAAUGUUAUUAAAGUUUUUUCUUAAAUCGAAUAAAAAAUAUAAUUAUUAAUAAAAAUAUCUAUACUUGAGCAUGAAUUUCAAUUCAAAGAAUGCAUAUAGAGGCGACAUGAAGGCCGACAGAAUUGCAAUCAGUAGCAUUCAUCAACAAUAUCAAGAAAGAAAAUUUUCCAAAAAGUAAAUAACAGGAGAUCGAAUAUAUUGAAAAGCAUAAUUUCCAUACAUGCCUAGGUGUUCAUGGUAACAGCUAACAUAUACAUUGCAGCAGUGUCAUAUAGAUCAAUUUGUCAUCGUUCAUCAGAGUUUGGCCGCACCGAUAGACAAGGAUGAAUGAGUUAAUUUAAGUCACGGUUUAUCACUAGCAACCGAUUUCACCAAGUCCAAGGAUAUAAAAUUGGCAGAUCCGUGAAAAUGUAAAAAUAUAAUUACAAAAAGAAAGAAGAAAUUCUCGUGUGUUAAAAAACCUUCCGACCUUAUUCUGCAUUACAUAUGAGAUUGGUCAUGCUCGAUAAAUUCUAGUGCGCCUUUCUUGGCGACAACAUUGACACGGCUCAUCCCGUUUUUGUGUGUUCACCCCAUGUAACUUAUCAGCAACCGUCACAAGUUCUGGCCUGAAAGUGGUGGUUAUAUAUUGGGUAUUUGUCAUAUCAGCCAGGCGACAGGCGACAGGCGACGGAUCUCCUCUGAAGGAUAUAUCAGAUGAAAAAACAAUAGCUAAAAUCAAUACAGAGCACACAUAACUCACACCAACAGCCCUUAGAUCUUCUUUAUAGGUUGACAUUUCUAUUUUCAUUGCACGGAGGUACAAGCGAAUAUCUUGCCAUUCAUAUGGUUAAACAAUAUCAGAUAUAAAUUCCUAAUUCCACUCCAAAAGCCUGAAAAUCAACUCCCCACAUUCAUAAGAGCAUGGCAGAAUUUUCUUAAAUAUUCAUUAUUAAUUAUUUUAUACGCAUUAACUUACAGAAAUUACAAAUCAUCAAUAAAAUUGACAAAACUUAAAACAAACAUGUUAAACAAACUAUUAUUUAUUUCAUCACAACACAUUUAAAUUGAUAAUUCGACAUAAGUUUCCAUAAUUUACAAAUAAAUAAAAUUUUACAAAAUCUAAAACAAAUUAGCAAGUACAAAAUUAUAAAUUCAUACUAUAUAUUUUAGAAAAAACAAUAAAACAAGUAAAUACUCAAAUAAAAUACAUAUACUAAAAGAACAUUCAAUAAUAAAAUUGAUAUUUUAAAAUUGUAUUAAAAUUAAAAAAAAGAUACAUUUAAUUACUAAAAAUAAAAAAUCCACAAUAAAUCAUAAUAUGGAUGCUAAGACUAAAAAAGUUUGUAUUAAGAUGAGGGGGGAUGAUUGGGAGGGGGGAGUUGGCUGUUAAUGUUGGGAGGGGGCGUUUGUUUAGAUGCAGGGGGGAGAAGAAGGAAAAAUAGGGGAGGGGAGGGUUGAUGCCUAGUUAUUUAUUAAAUAUUACUAAUAAAAUUACCGAUAGAAUUAUUUUGUCUGUCACUUCGUCAGUGUUUUUGACAUGUGACUAUACGAACAACUUGGUUUUAAUAUGACUGUAAUUUUAUUGGUAAAAUUGUCCAUAAAAACUUACACGUCAUCGCACAAUUUCUUUUUUAUUUUCCAUUCUUUAUAUUUUGUUUGAGAUUCCCUCGGUAUAUACUAACGAUUUUAACGAUGGAAAAAAUUUUGUUGGUAAAUAUCACUGCAAAAUACCAAUGAAAAAAAUCAUCAAUAAUUUCAUUUGUAUUUAUUGAAUUUCUAGUAGUGUUUUGGAUUUGGCUAACUGUCAAGUUCACGUGUCUUGUGUCUAGUAUGUUUGUCAAAUUCACAUCAUCUUAGACUUGGUUGAUUUGCUAAAUUCAAAUGCCUUAGAUUUGAUUGACUGCCAAAUCCAAAUGUCUUGAGUCUGGUAUAUUCAUCAUACCCAUGUUUCCUUGAAUUUAAUUGAUUUGCCAAAUGCAAAUGUCUUGGAUUUAGUUGAUUGCCAAUCCAAACAUCUUAAAUCUGAUAUAUUUAUUAAAUCCAGUUACCUUAAACUUGAUUAAUUGUCAAGUUCAAGUGCCAGAUUUUGCAUACCGCCAAACCUUCCACAUAAAUCAUGCCCAAAGAAAGAUGGUAAUAAGAGUUUUUUAAACCAGUUAAAAAUAAGUUUAUCAACUUACAAGCUGUGAUUUGGUCGUAGCAUGGUAUGUAUCUGAGACCUUUCUCGAAAGAGAAAAAAAAAACAUGACACUUUAGCAAAGGUGAUAUGUGUGAAACCUAUUUUGCAUCAAUUUUCAACCAAAACCAUCUCCAAACAACCUUGAUUUAAAAACAAAAUCAUAAUUUAAGAAGGAUGGACACACACUACAUAAUAUUUAUGAUAAAAAUAUAUUUUAAUCAAUCAUUCAAUUGGUUAAAAUUUUAUCAUAACGUGUUAACAAUUCUAUUUCCUAUUAGGAUUACAGGAUGCCAACAUACCAAAUUUGAUCCAAAAGUUACAGCCGGGAUUUUUUUUCAUUAUUUUUCUAAUUAUUUUAGGAUUCUUUUUUCAGAUAAUUUUUAGAAUGUUAUAUGAUUUAAAUUUCUAUAUUCAGGUCAUUUUGUCUCAAAUUUAAAUAUAAGAGGGGAUUGAUUGUGUAAAGUUUUUAGUUCAGAGUUUUUCUAUAGUUAACUUUUAAAUAUAAGAGGCUAUACUUUCAAAUGAUAUGAUUUUUACUUUUAAUAAAAUUAAAAAAUUAUAUUAACUUGAAUCAAUUUACCUCACCUGAAACCUGAGACUUUCCCGAGAUCAAGAGGUUAAGCUUAAGAACAAUGGUUAUAGCUGCUCAUAAAGGCUAGAAAAUGAUUGGAAUCUUGUUUUGGUAAGAAUUCGUAUGCUAUGGAAAUUUAAGCUAGCUAUGGAGCUUUCUCUAUAUGUGAAUGUAAGUAAACAUCAUUGAAUCUAGUUUGAUUAGGAAAUCGAAGGUCCUUAUAAAUUUCUCAAAACAAUUUCUUUUUGAGAGUGUAUAUUAACUAGUCCUGUAAACACACAAUUUUUAUUUGAACACAGGUGACAAAAGAAAAGGAAAAUCUGGAUUCUUGAAACAUGUCAAGCAUCCAAGUUCCAGGAGAAGUACUAGAGACAAUAACUCAAGAACAUCAAUAGCCAUAAUCUACAAUUUAUUAAUGGAGCUAUCUGGCUUAUUGAAUGUUGGAAACUGAUUGUGGUCUGACUUUAAUUGUUGUUAGUGUAGUUCUCGAUCUGCAAUGACAUCACAGUCUUGUUGGGGAAUCUGACCGGUGAUAUAUUGAUGGUUGUCCAUUGGAGGCUAAGCACACUGACACAAUAUUUAACGUGGUUUAGCAAAUCGCCUAUAUCUAUGGGAGAGGUCCAUAUUUGUAGAGAUAGAGAAAUAAUACAAAACAAAUACAUGGAGGAGGAGGAUCACAUCCACUCAAACUCAACUCCUAGCUCACAUCGAUGCCUUUGGAGUUGUUCUCUCUUUCUCUCUUAUUCUCUUCACAUACUCUCUCCAUUCUCUCUCUCAUUUUUUUUUUCUAAAAUCAUGCCUCUUUUAUAGGCAUUAAUGGUGCUGCUCCAGCUGAUCUUCAUUAAUGGUGUUCACCUAAACUUUGCCUACUUUGUGACUUUUGGUUGCUGCACCAACAACCCUCUUUGAAAAUGGAAGCCAUCUUCUUCUAAAAGAUGGACUGCAAAUGUUGCCACACAAGUGGCAAUAUGCUGACAAUCACCCCCUUUACCAUUUAUGUGGGGCAAUUGUUCUCUUGCUUUUUCAGCACAAGCUUGCAUCCUGCAGCUCUUCCAAGUUUACUAUUCCGAGAGCGUCUUCGACCAGGUUUACAGGUACUUGCCAAACAUUUCAAUCGCCAGAGUCACCAAAGCACACCUUUGCUCACACCAAAAGAUCACUUUAACCAGAUGGUUUGUCACAUCUCAUCUGAAGAGUGUUAACGCUUAUCUCUGGGACACAACAUUCCCCUUCAAGCGUAUUAAUCAUGCUUGAUUUGGAAUGAUUUAUCAAGCCUCACACCAAGGCUUACAACACCCCAUCAAACGUAAAUUUCUAUUUCCAAGCGCGACAAUCAUUAUCUGAGUAUCUUAAUAUGAUCACAAGCUCACCACUCUUCCAAAAGUCUACUCAUCCAAGAGUUGCGUCUCCUCUGUUCCACUCUCUGAAAAAGUCACCCACUUAGUGUCCAAGGAAAAUUUCUUCUAACUCAUUGACGUUUAGCAUGAGGGCAAUAUCCAUGAAAGUCAAUCUUGCAUUUGUCUUCAUACUCAUCAUAGUCACUUCAUUGGCUAUCCAUACACCUGUCCACUUAUAUCUAGCCAUCACAUUAGCUUUGGGGUGUUCUGAACUAGGGCUCCUAUCAUGGCCCUCACACCUUCUCUAAGGUGUCUUCACCUAUUGUUAUAAGAUAGUUUAAACUGGGGCUCCUAUCAUGGCCCACACACCUUUCAUCUGAGGUGUCUCCGCUCGUCGUCAUGCGGCGGUCUGAAUCUGGGCUCACAUUGUGGCCCUCAAACCUUCUGUCUGAGGUGUCUCCGCUUGUCGUGAAGCAGUCUCGUCCUCCUUCAUCUGGGAUGACUCUAGUGGCUCCAAGAUUCUCUACCACCAUGUGGACUUAUGAGAGAUUAUUGCCACUGACUACAUAGAAAGAGAAAGUUACGGUAUACUCCUCGCAAUCCUCCACCUCGAUUUCUAUAUUUGGAGCUUCUAUGCCUUUCUGCUUAAUAACUCCAUUUGCACCAAUUCUCUUUAGUGUCUUCACCUUUCAUAGGCGGUCACCUUUUAUCACAGGUGUUUGCACCCCCCUCAAUUAUGUGUUUCUGCAACAACUCAUCUUUCCAUCCUUGCAUGCACUGGAAAGGUCGUCACCUGUUGUAUUCAUCAAGAGCACAAGAGACUUCUUGUUGUACACAGUCUCUGCUCUGAGCUUCAUCUGGGAACUCUUCUUCUCCUUACACCUGUUGUCUUAUUACAGUACCUCGUUAGAUCCUACGAGUACUCCUGCAUAAUUUUUGUGUGCUCUCGUGCAAUUUAUGUUCUUCAGAUUUCUCCCUAUUCCUUGCUUUUAUGUUUGACAGGAGCUCAUCUGUCACAACACCUAUCAAGUAAAAAUAGAGUGUCAAUCUUUAUCCCCUUGUUGUAUUUCUCUUUCAUUAUCAAGAUCUUCAUCAAUUCUCCCCUCGAGAAAUUACAGUCACCGAAUCUGACUUCUUUGAAGAAAUCCCCACUCCAUUAGAUCCUUGAUCAUAUGAAACCCAAUUGUUCCCCUUAUGCCGUUAUCCUGCUAAUCUUCACCAAUUUCAUUACAAACUGUUACAUAUACAAAAAUAGUACCAUAUGGAUAAUCCUUCAACUAAGCAAGUUUGCAGGAAAGAUUGGAGGGGUCACAAUGGUCCUGCUUAAAACCCAAUCUCCUAGCCAGAACUUCUGAGGCCAUAUCUAUCCAUUAUACUACCUUUCCGUAUAUACAUCAUUUGCUAGCUUUGUUGCGGCUUUCCUUUACAAGUGAUCUGGAAUAUUUUUUAUUUAUACCUGAUUUCUUAACAUCAGGUGAGACUACCAGUGCUUAGAUUCAUCAAAAUUAGUCUUCAACAAUUUUCAUUCUCCACCUCAAAUCGUACACAUCUCGGGUGUUCAGAGUGUUCUAAUUUUGCCUUCUAUCAAGGCAAUUAAAUUUCCCCACUAAACAAUUCAACACACAUAAUUGGGAAAAUAUGUGUGACUUUUUCUUCUUCAUCUCCAUUGACCACCAUCAAGAGCUUCAGAUGCCUCCUGAUCGGGCAAUUUCUCUUAAUAAUUCACCACCACCAUUUUCGGUCUUAAUCUCAAUGAUUGGACCAUACCAUUGCAUCCAGAACGAUCAAAAUAGAUGGAAACAAGUCUGCAAUCGUCCAAAUCACAUUUCAGAAGGCUAAGAUUUCAUCAAAACAAUUAUGGCUUGAUGAACGGCCCAGAUUCAAUCUCAGAUCCGGUUUCACGUAGAAUCUGAUACAUAGAAUCCUAUCCCUCGGCACACGGCUCGACUCCUCUUGGCGGAUGAUGUGGCAUGUGAGUCCCACUAUGCUGACGUGGCUGCUGACUGGCGCUAACAUGGUGUCGCACGUCGAAAAAAUCCGCGCGCGGCAUCGGCUGACGAUUUUUUCUCAUUGUUGUUGUGUUUGCUUUGAUUGGUUCGUUGGAGUCGCCACCUAGUAAUUCAUUAAGGGCUACUAGGAAACCUGAUGUACUGGUCUCGUCAGAGAUCGCGAGUAAGGGACUGGUUGUGGUUAGGGAAGGUAUUAGCACCCCUAACGCACCCUACCUGAGGUAAGCUGCUUCGUAGCUUUGACGUGUUAAAGAAGUUUUAAUAAUUGUCUUUUCAUUGGAAAUUAGAAAUAUCACUUACGUAUAAGUUAAUAAUUCUUAACCGUGAUCCGAUCAAAAUAUUAAAUUCUUCUUUAAUAUAUUUGCAAUUUUAUCAUUAAAAAAUAUAUACAAAUAAAUAAAACAAAAUACAAGCACACACAUACACUUUCACUAUUUUAUUUUUGUUUCCUUUCUUUUCUUUUCUUUUACAUCCAUAUUUACAAAAUAUAGAUAAAAAUUCAAUACUAAAAAAUUUACAUCAACAACUCAAAAUUAUAAAAUAAUCCCUACAAUUCAAGAAACACAAAUCUGAAAAGCAUUUUGGGUCUGCCUGAACAGUGUUGAGGGAGGCUGCUAGGCGCGUGAACAGUGUUGCACAGCGGUGGCGCGUGGGUUCACACGCCGCCGCGAGAACGCCGGAAAAAAAAGGGUUGGCCGAAUUCUGCUUCUUCUUCCUUUUCCCUCCCCGCAGACGGUAAGAAACCACAUCAUCUACAACAAAAAACAAACACACAAACAGUCGAUUUUAAGCUUUUAUUUCUUUGUGUUUUUUUCGGAUCUGAUUUUUGUUCUUUCUUUCUUCUCCGAUCUGCUUUCCUCUUUUCUUCUCUUUUAGAUCUGUUUCCUUUUUCUUUCUUCCCGGGUCGCUGUUGUUUCCUUCUUCAGAUGGCAGAUCUGGUGGAGGCGGAUCGUGGUGGCGAGGCCAAGGGGGAACGGUCGUGCGUGGGCUACUGCUGUGUGGUCUUCACUUCGGUCGAUGGCAGCGGUGGUUGGCUUUUGCUGCCGGUGUCUGGCCUGUGGAUCUCCGGCGAGGAACGACGCUGCUGGAGGCAGUGAGCUGGGUCUGCUGCCGACCGGAGGAGAUGACGAAGGGGAUGGUUCUGUCUUGGCUAUCGGCCGACGAUGAAGAUCGCAGGUCUGCGGGGAGAAGCUGCCAUUGAGAUGGGUCGGCCAGGAGGCGGAGGAACGACCCUGUUGAAGGUGGAAGGUGGGCGUGAGCAGUCCUUAGUUCUGCAGGGAAAAUGGCAAUGGGAGAGGCUGCUGGGUCCGUCUUGGCUGAGUGAGAGAGAGGGGAGCGUGGAGAAGGCCGGUCAGUUGCUGUUUGGGGAAGCAAAAAAAAUUCAACCGGCUGGGGGCUGCUAUUUGGCCGGUUGCGGGAGAAGAGAAAAAAAAUCAAAAGGGGCAGUGUGGGUAGUAUGUUUGUCAAAUUCACAUCACCUUAGACUUGGUUGAUUUUCUAAAUUCAAAUGCCUUUGAUUUGAUUGACUGCCAAAUCCAAAUGUCUUGAGUCUGGUAUAUUCAUCAUACCCAUGUUUCCUUGAAUUUAAUUGAUUUGCCAAAUGCAAAUGUCUUGGAUUUAGUUGAUUGCCAAUCCAAACAUCUUAAAUCUGAUAUAUUUAUUAAAUCCAGUUACCUUAAACUUGAUUAAUUGUCAAGUUCAAGUGCCAGAUUUUGCAUACCGCCAAACCUUCCACAUAAAUCAUGCCCAAAGAAAGAUGGUAAUAAGAGUUUUUUAAACCAGUUAAAAAUAAGUUUAUCAACUUACAAGCUGUGAUUUGGUCGUAGCAUGGUAUGUAUCUGAGACCUUUCUCGAAAGAGAAAAAAAAAACAUGACACUUUGAGCAAAGGUGAUAUGUGUGAAACCUAUUUUGCAUCAAUUUUCAACCAAAACCAUCUCCAAACAACCUUGAUUUAAAAACAAAAUCAUAAUUUAAGAAGGAUGGACACACACUACAUAAUAUUUAUGAUAAAAAUAUAUUUUAAUCAAUCAUUCAAUUGGGUUAAAAUUUUAUCAUAACGUGUUAACAAUUCUAUUUCCUAUUAGGAUUACAGGAUGCCAACAUACCAAAUUUGAUCCAAAAGUUACAGCCGGGAUUUGUUUUCAUUAUUUUUCUAAUUAUUUUAGGAUUCUUUUUUCAGAUAAUUUUUAGAAUGUUAUAUGAUUUAAAUUUCUAUAUUCAGGUCAUUUUGUCUCAAAUUUAAAUAUAAGAGGGGAUUGAUUGUGUAAAGUUUUUAGUUCAGAGUUUUUCUAUAGUUAACUUUUAAAUAUAAGAGGCUAUACUUUCAAAUGAUAUGAUUUUUACUUUUAAUAAAAUUAAAAAAUUAUAUUAACUUGAAUCAAUUUACCUCACCUGAAACCUGAGACUUUCCCGAGAUCAAGAGGUUAAGCUUAAGAACAAUGGUUAUAGCUGCUCAUAAAGGCUAGAAAAUGAUUGGAAUCUUGUUUUGGUAAGAAUUCGUAUGCUAUGGAAAUUUAAGCUAGCUAUGGAGCUUUCUCUAUAUGUGAAUGUAAGUAAACAUCAUUGAAUCUAGUUUGAUUAGGAAAUCGAAGGUCCUUAUAAAUUUCUCAAAACAAUUUCUUUUUGAGAGUGUAUAUUAACUAGUCCUGUAAACACACAAUUUUUAUUUGAACACAGGUGACAAAAGAAAAGGAAAAUCUGGAUUCUUGAAACAUGUCAAGCAUCCAAGUUCCAGGAGAAGUACUAGAGACAAUAACUCAAGAACAUCAAUAGCCAUAAUCUACAAUUUAUUAAUGGAGCUAUCUGGCUUAUUGAAUGUUGGAAACUGAUUGUGGUCUGACUUUAAUUGUUGUUAGUGUAGUUCUCGAUCUGCAAUGACAUCACAGUCUUGUUGGGGAAUCUGACCGGUGAUAUAUUGAUGGUUGUCCAUUGGAGGCUAAGCACACUGACACAAUAUUUAACGUGGUUUAGCAAAUCGCCUAUAUCUAUGGGAGAGGUCCAUAUUUGUAGAGAUAGAGAAAUAAUACAAAACAAAUACAUGGAGGAGGAGGAUCACAUCCACUCAAACUCAACUCCUAGCUCACAUCGAUGCCUUUGGAGUUGUUCUCUCUUUCUCUCUUAUUCUCUUCACAUACUCUCUCCAUUCUCUCUCUCAUUUUUUUUUUUCUAAAAUCAUGCCUCUUUUAUAGGCAUUAAUGGUGCUGCUCCAGCUGAUCUUCAUUAAUGGUGUUCACCUAAACUUUGCCUACUUUGUGACUUUUGGUUGCUGCACCAACAACCCUCUUUGAAAAUGGAAGCCAUCUUCUUCUAAAAGAUGGACUGCAAAUGUUGCCACACAAGUGGCAAUAUGCUGACAAUCACCCCCUUUACCAUUUAUGUGGGGCAAUUGUUCUCUUGCUUUUUCAGCACAAGCUUGCAUCCUGCAGCUCUUCCAAGUUUACUAUUCCGAGAGCGUCUUCGACCAGGUUUACAGGUACUUGCCAAACAUUUCAAUCGCCAGAGUCACCAAAGCACACCUUUGCUCACACCAAAAGAUCACUUUAACCAGAUGGUUUGUCACAUCUCAUCUGAAGAGUGUUAACGCUUAUCUCUGGGACACAACAUUCCCCUUCAAGCGUAUUAAUCAUGCUUGAUUUGGAAUGAUUUAUCAAGCCUCACACCAAGGCUUACAACACCCCAUCAAACGUAAAUUUCUAUUUCCAAGCGCGACAAUCAUUAUCUGAGUAUCUUAAUAUGAUCACAAGCUCACCACUCUUCCAAAAGUCUACUCAUCCAAGAGUUGCGUCUCCUCUGUUCCACUCUCUGAAAAAGUCACCCACUUAGUGUCCAAGGAAAAUUUCUUCUAACUCAUUGACGUUUAGCAUGAGGGCAAUAUCCAUGAAAGUCAAUCUUGCAUUUGUCUUCAUACUCAUCAUAGUCACUUCAUUGGCUAUCCAUACACCUGUCCACUUAUAUCUAGCCAUCACAUUGGCUUUGGGGUGUUCUGAACUAGGGCUCCUAUCAUGGCCCUCACACCUUCUCUAAGGUGUCUUCACCUAUUGUUAUAAGAUAGUUUAAACUGGGGCUCCUAUCAUGGCCCACACACCUUUCAUCUGAGGUGUCUCCGCUCGUCGUCAUGCGGCGGUCUGAAUCUGGGCUCACAUUGUGGCCCUCAGACCUUCUGUCUGAGGUGUCUCCGCUUGUCGUGAAGCAGUCUCGUCCUCCUUCAUCUGGGAUGACUCUAGUGGCUCCAAGAUUCUCUACCACCAUGUGGACUUAUGAGAGAUUAUUGCCACUGACUACAUAGAAAGAGAAAGUUACGGUAUACUCCUCGCAAUCCUCCACCUCGAUUUCUAUAUUUGGAGCUUCUAUGCCUUUCUGCUUAAUAACUCCAUUUGCACCAAUUCUCUUUAGUGUCUUCACCUUUCAUAGGCGGUCACCUUUUAUCACAGGUGUUUGCACCCCCCUCAAUUAUGUGUUUCUGCAACAACUCAUCUUUCCAUCCUUGCAUGCACUGGAAAGGUCGUCACCUGUUGUAUUCAUCAAGAGCACAAGAGACUUCUUGUUGUACACAGUCUCUGCUCUGAGCUUCAUCUGGGAACUCUUCUUCUCCUUACACCUGUUGUCUUAUUACAGUACCUCGUUAGAUCCUACGAGUACUCCUGCAUAAUUUUUGUGUGCUCUCGUGCAAUUUAUGUUCUUCAGAUUUCUCCCUAUUCCUUGCUUUUAUGUUUGACAGGAGCUCAUCUGUCACAACACCUAUCAAGUAAAAAUAGAGUGUCAAUCUUUAUCCCCUUGUUGUAUUUCUCUUUCAUUAUCAAGAUCUUCAUCAAUUCUCCCUCGAGAAAUUACAGUCACCGAAUCUGACUUCUUUGAAGAAAUCCCCACUCCAUUAGAUCCUUGAUCAUAUGAAACCCAAUUGUUCCCCUUAUGCCGUUAUCCUGCUAAUCUUCACCAAUUUCAUUACAAACUGUUACAUAUACAAAAAUAGUACCAUAUGGAUAAUCCUUCAACUAAGCAAGUUUGCAGGAAAGAUUGGAGGGGUCACAAUGGUCCUGCUUAAAACCCAAUCUCCUAGCCAGAACUUCUGAGGCCAUAUCUAUCCAUUAUACUACCUUUCCGUAUAUACAUCAUUUGCUAGCUUUGUUGCGGCUUUCCUUUACAAGUGAUCUGGAAUAUUUUUUAUUUAUACCUGAUUUCUUAACAUCAGGUGAGACUACCAGUGCUUAGAUUCAUCAAAAUUAGUCUUCAACAAUUUUCAUUCUCCACCUCAAAUCGUACACAUCUCGGGUGUUCAGAGUGUUCUAAUUUUGCCUUCUAUCAAGGCAAUUAAAUUUCCCCACUAAACAAUUCAACACACAUUGGGAAAAUAUGUGUGACUUUUUCUUCUUCAUCUCCAUUGACCACCAUCAAGAGCUUCAGAUGCCUCCUGAUCGGGCAAUUUCUCUUAAUAAUUCACCACCACCAUUUUCGGUCUUAAUCUCAAUGAUUGGACCAUACCAUUGCAUCCAGAACGAUCAAAAUAGAUGGAAACAAGUCUGCAAUCGUCCAAAUCACAUUUCAGAAGGCUAAGAUUUCAUCAAAACAAUUAUGGCUUGAUGAACGGCCCAGAUUCAAUCUCAGAUCCGGUUUCACGUAGAAUCUGAUACAUAGAAUCCUAUCCCUCGGCACACGGCUCGACUCCUCUUGGCGGAUGAUGUGGCAUGUGAGUCCCACUGCUGACGUGGCUGCUGACUGGCGCUAACAUGGUGUCGCACGUCGAAAAAAUCCGCGCGCGGCAUCGGCUGACGAUUUUUUCUCAUUGUUGUUGUGUUUGCUUUGAUUGGUUCGUUGGAGUCGCCACCUAGUAAUUCAUUAAGGGCUACUAGGAAACCUGAUGUACUGGUCUCGUCAGAGAUCGCGAGUAAGGGACUGGUUGUGGUUAGGGAAGGUAUUAGCACCCCUAACGCACCCUACCUGAGGUAAGCUGCUUCGUAGCUUUGACGUGUUAAAGAAGUUUUAAUAAUUGUCUUUUCAUUGGAAAUUAGAAAUAUCACUUACGUAUAAGUUAAUAAUUCUUAACCGUGAUCCGAUCAAAAUAUUAAAUUCUUCUUUAAUAUAUUUGCAAUUUUAUCAUUAAAAAUAUAUACAAAUAAAUAAAACAAAAUACAAGCAACACAUACACUUUCAUAUUUUAUUUUUGUUUCCUUUCUUUUCUUUUCUUUUACAUCCAUAUUUACAAAAUAUAGAUAAAAAUUCAAUACUAAAAAAUUUACAUCAACAACUCAAAAUUAUAAAAUAAUCCCUACAAUUCAAGAAACACAAAUCUGAAAAGCAUUUGGGUCUGCCUGAACAGUGUUGAGGAGGCUGCUAGGCGCGUGAACAGUGUUGCACAGCGGUGGCGCGUGGGUUCACACGCCGCGCGAGAACGCCGGAAAAAAAAGGGUUGGCCGAAUUCUGCUUCUUCUUCCUUUUCCUCCCCGCAGACGGUAAGAAACCACAUCAUCUACAACAAAAAACAACACACAAACAGUCGAUUUUAAGCUUUUAUUUCUUUGUGUUUUUUUCGGAUCUGAUUUUUGUUCUUUCUUUCUUCUCCGAUCUGCUUUCCUCUUUUCUUCUCUUUUAGAUCUGUUUCCUUUUUCUUUCUUCCCGGGUCGCUGUUGUUUCCUUCUUCAGAUGGCAGAUCUGGUGGAGGCGGAUCGUGGUGGCGAGGCCAAGGGAACGGUCGUGCUGGGCUACUGCUGUGCUUCACUUCGGUCGAUGCAGCGGUGGUUGGGCUUUUGCUGCCGGUGUCUGGCCUGUGGAUCUCCGGCGAGGAACGACGCUGCUGGAGGCAGUGAGCUGGGUCUGCUGCCGACCGGAGGAGAUGACGAAGGGGAUGGUUCUGUCUUGGCUAUCGGCCGACGAUGAAGAUCGCAGGUCUGCGGGGAGAAGCUGCCAUUGAGAUGGGUCGGCCAGGAGGCGGAGGAACGACCCUGUUGAAGGUGGAAGGUGGGCGUGAGCAGUCCUUAGUUCUGCAGGGAAAAUGGCAAUGGGAGGGGCUGCUGGGUCCGUCUUGGCUGAGAGAGAGGGGAGCGUGGAGAAGGCCGGUCAGUUGCUGUUUGGGGAAGCAAAAAAAAUUCAAACCGGCUGGGGGCUGCUAUUUGGCCGGUUGCGGGAGAAGAGAAAAAAAAUCAAAAGGGGCAGUGUGGGGGUUGGCUGUGUUUGGAUUUUUAGGGUUUAGGUUUUUUCUUUGUAUUUUUUUGAUGUCUCAAAAUUGCCCCCUCUUCCUUGUAAGUGUUGGAAACCAGUAUUUAUAGGCAAAAAAUAUUGCUAAGUUUUCAAAAUGGGUCCCUUAACUUUCUUUUUUUGUAAAAUUUGAUUUUUCUUGUUUUUUUGUAUUUUUUGAAAACGAGCAAUAUCAACGUCGACUCAAAUGCGGAAAAUCAAUUAUUUUAAAAAUGACGCGUGAAAAGUCGAACGCGUUUGAAAAUCUUUUAAAAAUUUAAAUUCUUUUUUAGACGACGUUGAAAAUGCUAAAAUGACGAAAAUAUAUUAAAAAACAUAUUUUUUUGGAUUUUCUUUGUUUUUCUCUAUUUGAAUUUUUUUGAAAAUAUAUCAAAACAUGGAUCAAAAAAUGGGUAGCAACACAUGGCAUGCCAACUGUGCAUGCUGCUGUUAUAAUUACAUCAUCCUUAUCCGAGUCAGGCACGUGGGUCGGGUCGACUGGUAUUCAGGUUGGGUCAGUCCAUCUGGGCGAAGAAGACGCAUGGCAUGCGUUUGGCGCGUUUGUGUGUAUGGCCAGCCACCUCGCUGGCGUGUAGGGGUGCGUGCGGCCAUGCCAAACAUCCGAUUUUGACACGGUUUUCAGUAGUGGCUUCGUCUCUUCCUCCUCUACACGUUGGUAUGGUCAAAACACAAUUUUGACAACUUUCAUUUUUGAGCAAAACACCACUUUAAACCAUAUGCUCUGAUACCAAUUGUUGGGGAAUCUGACCGGUAAUGUACUGGUAGUUGCCCAUUGCAGGCUAAGCACACUGACACAAUAUUUAACGUGGUUCGACAAAUCACUUACAUCCAUGAGAGAAGUUUAUAUUAUUAGAGAUAAAGAAAUGAUACAAAACAAAUACAUAGAGGAGGAAGAGGAGGAUCACAUCAACUCAAACUCAACUCCCAGCUCACAUUGCUGUCCUUGCAGCUGCUGCCAUUGCAGCUGCUGCCAUUGCAGCUCUUCUCUCUUUCUCUCUUAUUCUCUUCACAUACUCUCACCAUUCUCUCUCUCAUUUUCCUCUCUAAAAUCAUGCCUCUUUUAUAGGCAUUAAUGGUGCUCCUCCAGCUGAUCUUCAUUAAUGGUGGUCACGUAACCUUUGCCUACUUUGUGACUUUUGGUUGUUGCACCAACAACCCUCUUUAAAAAUGGAAGCUAUCUUCUUCUAGAACAUGGGCUGCAAAUGCUGCCACAUAAGUGGCAAUAUCCCAACAAGUCUGGGAUUGGUUCAUGGGAGGACUUGCAUUCUUGCAUAAAGAUUGUGAUGAUUCGCCUAACAAGUAGUAUGUUUCCUCUCUAUUUUGCUGAGCCCAUGAUUUCUAGUGAAGAGCUUUCAGCUUAGCAAGCUCAUUGGACACUUCCUUUAUGGUUGGCUGGUUUACUCCCAUGCUAUUUAGACAUCCUUUUGCAAGCUCAGCUACAACUUCUAUCUCAU